GACGGGACCAGCUGGCUGAUCCCAUGAGGUGACUUCUGCCCAGUGCUCUGAUUGUCAAUGCAAAGAGAUUUAGCCAAGCGCGGGUAAACGGCGGGAGUAACUAUGACUCUCUUAAGGUAGCCAAAUGCCUCGUCAACCAAUUAUUGACGCGCAUGAAUGGAUCAACGAGAUUCCUGCUGUCCCUAGGUGCUGUCCGGUGAACCAACAGCCAAGGGAACGGGCUUGGAUGUGUCAGCGGGGAAAGAAGACCCUGUUGAGUUUGACUCUAGUUUGAUGCUGUGCAGCGACAUGUGGGGUGUAGCAUAGGUGGGAGGUGAGUGCCAACGAGGCCUUGGCCUGCGCAAGCUUUGUCCCCGUGACAAGCCAGCCAGGCCGGGAUGCCCAGAGCCGUGACCAACACACAACCCGUUUGUGACUGUGGAAUGGAUCCUCCGAUGGAGUGCCAGAGUGCCAAAGGUGCAAGCCAGCAGUGAAAUACCACUACCUUCACCGUCGCUUUACUCACCGAGUGACUUGGGACCGACUGCCCCUGCAUUUCUGCCAAACUGGGACGGGACCUCUCGUUUCAAUGGGCAUCACCGCUUCGUGACCCAAGUGCAGCCACCCCGUGUGGCCUGCACGACCCUGUGGGGGGUUUCACACCCCGCCCGAUCCAUCGGUGCCUCGGGACAAUGAUCAGCUGGGGAGUUUGGCUGGGGCGGCACGCCUGUUACAGGACAACGCAGGCGUCCUGAAGCAUUACUCAGAUGGAAGAGAAAUCUUACGUGGAGGAGCAGGCCAAAGGUGCUGCUGAUGCUGCGACCUUCAGUACAGGUCCAAAACGUGCAAGUGUGGCCUUGCGAUCCUUUGGUUAAGUGCUCGAGUUUGGGAUAUUGAAGCCAGAGGUGUCAGAAAAAUUACCACAGGGAUAACUGGCUUGUGGCUGCCAAGCGUUCACAGCGACGUCGCUUUUUGAUCCUUCGAUGUCGGCUCUUCCUAGCUUCCCACCCGCAGCCGAGUGGAAGAGUUGGAUUGUUCACCCACCAAC
rnacentral:rRNA from 1 species